rnacentral:rRNA from 1 species
GGUGACCACGUACCUUUUGUAUCAUGGGUCUGCGACUUAGUCUGACGAGCAAGCUUAAGCCGAUAGGUGUAGGCGCAGCGAAAGCGAGUCUGAAUAGGGCGAUAUAGUUAGAGGGAUGAGACCCGAAACCGAGUGAUCUAGCCAUGUGCAGGUUGAAGGUGCGGUAACACGCACUGGAGGACCGAACCCACGUCUGUUGAAAAAGACGGGGAUGACGUGUGGCUAGGGGUGAAAGGCC